rnacentral:rRNA from 1 species
AUUAUUAAAAGCUUUAUAUUGAGAGUAUAUAUAAAUUAUGAAAUCAAAAAAUUUUGGCGGUAUUUUAAGCUUUUUAGAGGAAUUUGCUCUGUGAUGGAUAAAACGCCUAGAUCUUACUUAAUUUUGUUAAAUCAGUUUGUAUACCACUAUAGUUCAAUUAUAUUAAAUAAUUAUAUUUACAAUUUUUAUAUAAAAAAUAUAUUAAGUCAUGGUGCAACAUAAAAUUAUGUAUGAAGUGAAUUACAAUGAUUGUUAUUGAUAAUUAAUGAAAUUAUGAAAAAUAUAGAAUUUAAAAGUAAAGUAUUAAUAUAAUGGAUAUUUGAAUAAAGCUCUAAAAUAUGCAC